UGAAACUUGGCGGUUAAAGCUCCUGUUGGAACAGGGCGGCAGGAGACAAGGGAAGGGACACUCAGUUUGAGACGGUGUUGAGAUAGGAUCAUGAAGGAAGAAGUGAAGGGAAUUCCUGUAAGAGUGGCACUGCGAUGUCGCCCUCUCGUCCCUAAAGAGAUUAGCGAGGGCUGCCAGAUGUGCCUUUCCUUCGUUCCCGGGGAACCUCAGGUGGUGGUUGGUACUGAUAAAUCCUUUACCUACGAUUUUGUGUUUGACCCCUCCACUGAACAGGAAGAAGUCUUCAAUACAGCAGUAGUGCCACUCAUUAAAGGCAUAUUUAAAGGAUACAAUGCAACUGUCCUGGCCUAUGGGCAGACUGGCUCUGGAAAAACCUAUUCAAUGGGAGGUACAUACACUGCAGAGCAAGAGAAUGAACCAACAGUUGGGGUCAUUCCUAGGGUAAUACAACUGCUCUUCAAAGAAAUUGAUAAAAGGAGCGACUUCGAAUUUACUCUGAAAGUAUCAUACUUGGAGAUUUACAAUGAAGAAAUCUUGGAUCUUCUUUGCCCAUCUCGUGAGAAAGCCUCUCAAAUAAAUAUACGGGAGGAUCCUAAGGAAGGCAUUAAGAUUGUGGGACUCACUGAGAAGACUGUUUUAGUUGCCCUGGAUACUGUUUCCUGUUUGGAGCAGGGCAACAACUCUCGGACUGUGGCCUCCACAGCUAUGAACUCCCAGUCAUCCCGAUCUCAUGCCAUCUUUACAAUCUCCAUAGAGCAAAGAAAGAAAAGUGACAAGAAUAGCAGUUUUCGCUCUAAGCUGCAUCUUGUAGACCUUGCUGGAUCAGAACGACAGAAGAAAACCAAGGCUGAAGGGGAUCGUCUAAAAGAGGGUAUUAAUAUUAACCGAGGCCUCCUAUGCUUGGGAAAUGUAAUCAGUGCUCUUGGAGAUGACAAAAAGGGUGGCUUUGUGCCCUACAGAGAUUCCAAGUUGACGCGACUGCUUCAAGAUUCUCUAGGAGGUAAUAGCCAUACUCUUAUGAUAGCCUGUGUGAGUCCUGCUGACUCCAAUCUAGAGGAAACAUUAAAUACCCUUCGCUAUGCUGACAGAGCAAGAAAAAUCAAGAACAAACCCAUUGUUAAUAUUGAUCCCCAGACAGCUGAACUUAAUCAUCUGAAGCAACAGGUACAACAGCUACAGGUCUUGUUGCUACAAGCCCAUGGAGGUACCCUGCCUGGAUCUAUAAAUGUAGAACCAUCAGAGAAUCUACAAUCCCUGAUGGAGAAGAAUCGGUCCCUGGUAGAGGAGAACGAAAAAUUAAGUCGUGGUCUGAGCGAGGCGGUUGGUCAGACAGCCCAGAUGUUGGAGAGGAUCAUUUUGACAGAACAAGCAAAUGAAAAAAUGAACGCCAAGCUAGAAGAACUCAGGCAUCAUGCAGCCUGCAAAGUGGAUCUUCAAAAGCUAGUGGAGACUUUAGAAGACCAGGAAUUAAAAGAAAAUGUAGAGAUAAUUCGUAACCUGCAGCAAGUGAUUACUCAGCUAUCGGAUGAAACUGUUGCUUGCAUGGCUGCAGCCAUUGAUACUACCGUGGAACCAGAAGCUCAGGUGGAAACCAGUCCGGAGACCAGCAGGUCUUCUGAUGCUUUCACCACUCAGCAUGCUCUACGUCAAGCUCAGAUGUCUAAGGAGCUGGUUGAGUUGAAUAAAGCCCUUGCCCUGAAAGAGGCCCUAGCCAGGAAGAUAACUCAGAAUGACAGCCAACUACAGCCCAUUCAGUUCCAGUACCAGGAUAACAUAAAAAAUCUAGAAUUGGAAGUAAUCAAUCUGCAAAAGGAAAAGGAAGAAUUGGUUCUUGAACUUCAGACAACAAAGAAGGAUAUCAACCAAGCCAAGUUAAGUGAGCGCCGCCGCAAACGUCUUCAGGAGCUAGAGGGUCAAAUAGCUGAUCUGAAGAAGAAACUGCAUGAACAGUCCAAGCUUCUGAAGCUGAAAGAAUCCACAGAGCAUACAGUCUCCAAACUGAACCAGGAGAUACAAGUGAUGAAAAACCAGCGGGUACAGUUAAUGCGUCAGAUGAAAGAGGAUGCCGAGAAGUUCAGACAGUGGAAGCAACAAAAAGACAAAGAAGUAAUCCAGUUAAAAGAACGAGAUCGUAAGAGGCAAUAUGAACUGCUCAAACUUGAAAGAAACUUCCAGAAACAGUCUAAUGUACUCAGACGUAAAACUGAAGAGGCAGCAGCUGCCAACAAGCGUCUCAAGGAUGCUCUCCAAAAACAACGGGAGGUUGCAGAUAAGCGGAAGGAGGCUCAGAGCCGUGGGAUGGAAGGCAGCACUGCAGCUCGAGUGAAGAAUUGGCUUGGAAAUGAAAUUGAGGUUAUGGUCAGUACUGAGGAAGCCAAACGCCAUCUGAAUGACCUUCUUGAAGAUAGAAAGAUCCUGGCUCAGGAUGUGGCUCAACUCAAAGAAAAGAUGGAAUCUGGGGAGAAUCCACCUCCUAAACUCAGGAGGCGCACAUUCUCACUUGCUGAACUGCGUGGUCAAGUUUCUGAGUCAGAGGACUCCAUUACAAAGCAGAUUGAAAGCCUAGAGACUGAAAUGGAACUCAGGAGUGCUCAGAUUGCUGACCUACAGCAGAAGCUUCUGGAUGCAGAAAGUGAAGACAGGCCAAAACACCGCUGGGAGAAUAUUGCUACCAUUCUGGAAGCCAAGUGUGCCCUGAAAUAUUUAAUUGGAGAGCUGGUCUCCUCCAAAAUACAGGUCAGCAAGCUUGAAAGUAGCCUGAAACAGAAUAAAGCCAGCUGUGCUGACAUGCAGAAGAUGCUGUUUGAAGAACGAAAUCAUUUUGCUGAAAUAGAGACAGAGUUACAGGCAGAGCUGGUCAGAGUGGAGCAACAGCACCAAGAGAAGGUGCUGUACCUUCUCAGUCAGCUACAGCAAAGCCAAAUGGCAGAGAAGCUGCUCGAGGAGUCAGUCAGUGAAAAGGAACAACAACUGUUGAGUACCCUGAAGUGUCAGGAUGAAGAGCUUGAGAAGAUGCGAGAAGUUUGUGAGCAAAAUCAGCAGCUUCUCCGAGAGAAUGAAAUCAUCAAGCAGAAACUGACCCUCCUCCAAGUAGCCAGCAGACAAAAACCUCAUCUUCCUAAGGAUACCCUUCUAUCUCCAGACUCUUCUUUCGAAUAUAUCCCGCCUAAGCCAAAACCUUCCCGUUUUAAAGCAAAGUUCCUGGAGCAAAGCAUGGACAUCGAGGAUCUAAAAUAUUGUUCAGAGCAUUCUGUGAAUGAGCCUGAGGAUGGUGAUGGUGAUGGUGACGAUGGGGAUGAUGAGGAAUGGAAGCCAACAAAAUUAGUUAAGGUGUCCAAGAAGAACAGCCAAGGGUGUUCCUGCAAGGGCUGGUGUGGGAACAAGCAAUGCGGGUGCAGGAGACAAAAGUUGGACUGUGGCAUGGACUGCAGCUGUGACCUCACAAAGUGUAGGAACCGUCAGCAAGGCAAGGAUAGCUUGGGCACUGUUGAGCGGACCCAGGAUUCCGAAGGUUCCUUCAAACUGGAGGAUCCCACAGAGGUGACCCCGGGAUUAAGCUUCUUCAACCCCGUCUGUGCCACUCCCAACAGCAAGAUCCUGAAAGAGAUGUGUGAUGUGGAGCAGGUGCUGUUAAAGAAGACAGCUCCAGCGACCUCCUCCCUUGGCCUCCCAGAGUCAAUACACGUAGCAACAGAAUCCCAAGAAAAUAAAGCUCCAGGGAAGAAAAAGAAACGAGCUCUGGCCAGCAACAUCAGCUUCUUUUCUGGCUGCUCCCCUAUUGAAGAAGAGGCCCACUGAAGUUGGACUCGUCAUUUCGGCCCCAGUCUGGCUUGGGAGAUGCUUGCAGCCAGAAAGGGUUUUUUAAUGACUCCUCUGGAUUUCAGGUUUACUGCUGUUUAAAAGAAGGGACAGCGUGUUACUGAAAGGGAGGGAAACUUUUUUGGAUGUUGGCCCUCGGUCUCUAGCCCCCCAGCCCCAGACUACUACUCUGUCUUCUCCAGGAGGAUGCUAAGCCACCUGCAGAAGCAAGAACCAACUGACCUUCCUGACAACUCAUCAGAAACCAGUCCCCAGCACAGUCUAGCUCCUUCUUAUUUGUGAGCAGCUAAGGCCGUCUCCAGACGAGGCUGAGGCUGUCUUAUCUCUGGGUUAUCUCAGCUUAACAGCGGAGCAAAUGGCAGAACCUGGUCUGAGCUGGAGGACUGGCACCUAUCCUUCACCCCACCUCAGGAAUGGGGUUGGGAUCUUUCCUGCCCUGACCGUCUCUGGAUUUUAAGUGUUUUAACAGUACCCUCCAUUGUCUUCCAUGUUGCUGAGCAAAAAAAAAGCUCCCAAAGAACCGCCCAGAACUCAGCACAUGAAAGCCAAGACUCCUCUAGAAUCCAACGGAGCCCAAGCAAAGGAAACUGAAGGACAACCUGCCUAGAAUGAAGCCUGCAGGAGGACUAGGUGACUUGGUAGCC